AAGGAAGCGCAAAACUCAAGCCUUUUGGGGUUGACAACCCCAUGUUUUUCUAUAAACUAACUUCCC
rnacentral:tRNA from 1 species